UCCGGUUUUUCACCGGCAGUCCCUCUAGAGUGCUCAGCAUUACCUGGUAGCAACUAGAGACAGGGGUUGCGCUCGUUGCGGGACUUAACCCAACGUCUCACGACACGAGCUGACGACAGCCAUGCAGCACCUGAACCACCGGCCCCUUGCGGGAAGACCCCAUCUCUGGAGCUGUCCUCCGUUGUCUAGCCCAGGUAAGGUUCUUCGCGUUGCGUCGAAUUGAACCACAUGCUCCACCGCUUGUGCGGGCCCCCGUCAAUUCCUUUGAGUUUCAACCUUGCGGUCGUACUCCCCAGGCGGGGUACUUCCUGCGUUAGCGCCGGCACCCAGAGGGUCGCUCCCCCAGGCACCUAGUACCCAUCGUUUACGGCGUGGACUAC
rnacentral:misc_RNA from 1 species